GUGCCAGCAGCCGCGGUGAUACGUAGGUGGCAAGCGUUGUCCGGAUUUAUUGGGCGUAAAGCGAGCGCAGGCGGUUUCUUAAGUCUGAUGUGAAAGCCCCCGGCUCAACCGGGGAGGGUCAUUGGAAACUGGGAGACUUGAGUGCAGAAGAGGAGAGUGGAAUUCCAUGUGUAGCGGUGAAAUGCGUAGAUAUAUGGAGGAACACCAGUGGCGAAGGCGGCUCUCUGGUCUGUAACUGACGCUGAGGCUCGAAAGCGUGGGGAGCAAACAGGAUUAGAUACCCUGGUAGUCCACGCCGUAAACGAUGAGUGCUAAGUGUUGGAGGGUUUCCGCCCUUCAGUGCUGCAGCUAACGCAUUAAGCACUCCGCCUGGGGAGUACGACCGCAAGGUUGAAACUCAAAGGAAUUGACGGGGGCCCGCACAAGCAGUGGAGCAUGUGGUUUAAUUCGAAGCAACGCGAAGAACCUUACCAGGUCUUGACAUCCUUUGACCACUCUAGAGAUAGAGCUUCCCCUUCGGGGGCAAAGUGACAGGUGGUGCAUGGUUGUCGUCAGCUCGUGUCGUGAGAUGUUGGGUUAAGUCCCGCAACGAGCGCAACCCUUAUUGUUAGUUGCCAUCAUUCAGUUGGGCACUCUAGCAAGACUGCCGGUGACAAACCGGAGGAAGGUGGGGAUGACGUCAAAUCAUCAUGCCCCUUAUGACCUGGGCUACACACGUGCUACAAUGGGAAGUACAACGAGUUGCGAAGUCGCGAGGCUAAGCUAAUCUCUUAAAGCUUCUCUCAGUUCGGAUUGCAGGCUGCAACUCGCCUGCAUGAAGCCGGAAUCGCUAGUAAUCGCGGAUCAGCACGCCGCGGUGAAUACGUUCCCGGGCCUUGUACACACCGCCCGUCACACCACGAGAGUUUGUAACACCCGAAGUCGGUGAGGUAACCUUUUUGGAGCCAGC
rnacentral:rRNA from 1 species